ACCCUGCAGCACUGAGGGGGAAACCUGGUCCAGCCUGGAGCAUCCCGUCUAUCUAUUUUUCCCACUUGAACAACAAUCUGGAGGAGCUGUUACCUGCUUAAUUAUCUGGAACGCGUUUGCAGCGGGGAAAUUCAGCAGGGAGAAAUUUGCUGUCUUCACUGGAGAAACAGAGAUCCGCAACUUCUCCAAAGAGAUGCCUUAGCAGGUAGAGCCAGCUCUUAUGUCAGUCACAGCAGGUACGUCACCAGACCCUUGGAGGACAGCCAUUACCAAGCCGUGACUGCUGUGUCUGGUCUCUGUUAAAAGCCAUAAACAUGAAACCCAAAUCUUUGAUUGUGCAAAGCUGCAGUGCAGAUCCGUGACUCACCACUGUCACAAAACUACAGCACUGCAGUUCCCCAUGGCAGCAGCACGUGGCUUCCUGCACCCCAAAGGCAGCACCAAAUGACAGGGGAAAGAGGCAAAGGUGCCAUCAGUGCUGUUGACUUACACAGGAGAUGACAUCAGUUGUCCAUAAAGCUCUCAGCACACUGCCCUCGAGGGAAUGGAAACGGGGGAGGUUGUAUUUGACUCUUCUAGCAUGACUCAACGUGGCCCACCUUACGGGAUCUCUGGAGCGAGUUUGCAUGGUUGGAUGCAUCUGCUUGGCUGGGUGCACAUCUUCACAGGACACAUAUUGUUUCAUUGUGCUGCCAGUUGUGGCAGGUAACUGUGGAUGUUUUACUGCUGCCAACAUUGGAUCACUGGGCAAGGUGCCUCCUUCCCUCACCUUUUUUAUCUCUGGCCAAGCAGAUGCAAGCCAAGAGUCAGAAUAUGGUUUUUUUUUUUUCCUUUCUUUCUCCAGAUGCUUUGCACUCAGUUGGCUGUUUCCCUCAGCAGCCCUUCCUCUCCCAGAUCCGAGUGUAUGCCUACGUGCAGCUAUUCUAGCCUCACCUCAUCAAGGUCAGCAGUGGCCUGCAGAUAUAAUACAGGCGUUUGCCCCAUUUAGUUCAGAGUGGGUGGAGGGGGGAUUGGGUGAUUGAUCUGGCACAGGUGUAAUAGUGCUGAACAUCAGCAUAGCGUAUUUUUCCUUUUCCCCCACUCACAUGCACUUAAAUCCCUGCAAGGUUCAUAAUGUGGCUAAACUCGAAUGCAUUUUCACAGCUUUAGCCACAAAACACCAAGGCUAUUGCCUCCCCCCCUCUAUCGCCAGUUGCAUUUUGAGUCCCUGUGGCACAGCAGGGAGAUGCUGCAGCUGUUCAAAUAAACCAUUUCUGGAAACACUAAAACAAGCAGGCAAGAGGAAGGCAGGCUUUGGAAAUGGCCAAACCAUUUGGCUGCAAUUUUCCACUGAAUUUCAGCUGGAGGUAGUACCACCCCCUUCUCUUCCAGAAUAAAAGAUUUCUACCCUUACUGUUACAGACUGGUAAGGAGCUGGGGAUUUUUAUUUUAAGACUGUAUA